rnacentral:lncRNA from 1 species
GGUGUCCACAGGGGCCUCCCAACAAUCCUCUAUUAUAGGAUGUAUCUACCUUUCUCUCUGGAUACACUAGAUUCACAGUGAGACAUGUUUGUAGGGAGGCAAAUUCGAUAGCACACUGGGUGGUGGCCUAUAUUGUGGAGCAUACUAGAGACAGUUUGUGGACUUCUUUUGGAUCAACCUGGAGAUAAUUGAGAGAUAUUUUAUUUUCUAAUCUUUUUGGAUGUAUUCACACAUGACUUGUUUGAAUGAUCUGCUUUAUCCAAAAAAAAGAUUUACUUUUUUCUUUCUAUAGCUCAAUAGGCCAUAGGUUGGGAUUAGGUCAAGAUCUGGAUGUCUUUAUAAGAUGUGAGCUGGACAGACCAUCAGCUUGAUUAUUAUAGGAUUUUUGGUCCAAUCAUGCAGGAAUAUCUAUAUAGGUUCUACGGAUUAUUUUUAGCUGUGAAUCACUAGAUAAUUGUUUUAUCCCUCUCUGAUAGUAAUUUUGAUGCCUCUAACUAGGAAGAGAAGAUUUUCAGCCAUAGCAGUGUUAUUUUUCAUUUGAUAGAAUAAAUCUAAAUCAUAGUACCUCUUUGGAGUCAUCUUGCAACCAAAUUGGAUCUCGAAAAUUCACAAGGC